rnacentral:misc_RNA from 1 species
AAGGAUCAUUACUGAGUUAGGGUUCUAUUUGGGGCCCAACCUCCAAACCUUUGAGUAUUCCAUACAAGCAUUAUUUUUUUUGUUGCUUCGGUGGGCUUAAAAGGCCCACCGACGCACAAAAAACAAAACUCUUAUAUUAAAAGGAUGUUGUCUGAAGUUUUAGAUACUGAAUAAAUUAAAACUUUCAACAACGGAUCUCUUGGUUCCC